CGUCUGCUUUACGUUCUUUAGCUUACCCUUCCGCUUGUGAGUUCGCACCUGUAAGUAUUCUAAUCCCCUUGUUGGCAUGUUUCAGUUUUGGACAGAUGCAAACAAUAUGCCCUGCUUCGCGACAGUGAAAGCAUAAUCUCAUAAAAUACCGGCAGCAUUCAGUCGAGUCAUUUCUUCGCAAGUAUUACAUUUCAGUACUUUCCGGGAUAUUUGUUGAGGGGUCCUUAAAUUAGGUUCAGGCCCUGUCCGAGUUCGUAAUUCCAAACUUUGCAUUUUUUUAGACUAUAACAAUUUUGUUACUUUUUCGUUUGAUCAUUUGUGAGUGCCUGGUCUAUAUUUAGAUCCCGUUGUGAUCACUCAUAUAUUGUGUAAACCGUAAUUUGCACCAGAUUGCCCAGAUUAAAGAUAAUAUUACCCAUCAAAACAAGGAACAGGCUCUCAACAGGUCAACAUUAAGAAUCGCGUCACUUCCACUCUCGCUUACAUAAUGCCACUUAUUAUAAGCUUGGCACAAUAAUGAAUGAGUUAAACAUUGCACAUAUUGCAAUUAGUCGAUGCUUCAUGAACAAAAUACCUCAACUACGGUAGAUAAGCGUAUGAAUCAUGCGCAUCGACGUUAUAGCAUCACAAACGCACACCAAUGAAGAUAUCACCGUGCGAGUAUAUUUGCUUUGAAAAUUGUAUGGACUGUAUGAGGUUGUAAUGUUGUUUAUAUUUUUUUUCUCAUUCCCGCGCAUCGGUUUCGCGCUAGUAAGAUAUGUGUCAAGUGUGCGUUUAAUAAUGGUCUAAUAUGCGCUGCUGAAUGUGCAUUCGACGAUUAUUCGUUUGUAUGCGUGCAGAUGGUAGUGUUCCAGUGGCUCUCAAAAAUAUACAUAUGAAAUCUGAUGUCAAGGCAUCGUUUUAGAAUAUGGGUUUUUAACACCCACUAGCUGAACGUAUUAAUUGACAUAAACAAGUUCACAACGAAUGAUCCCCUGGCAUUAUGCAGAGAAUGAAAGAAUAUUUGUUACUAACCACAUAGUACGCCAUUUACGUUGAAGAAACACUGCACCGUCUGAACAACAGCGUUUAAGCUCUCAACUUUGCCAUACGCCACUCACACACAGUUCAGUCCUGACCGUGCUUGCAGACGGAUGAUUUGCUGUAAUUGAAUGUGCGCUUCGAUUUACUUCAACCAUGGGUACCGGAAAAUCAAAACAACAAACCCAAACAUCUUAUCCAAAGGAUAAUAAACGAAACCCUCAGACAAAUUCACAAAACCAUCGAAUGGAGAGUAAUCGACGCAAGCCAAACGGAUCAACGCAACAAAAACCACAACGGAUGCAACCGGCAUAUGCCCAUCAGCAAAAAAAAUUGGAAAACAACAACAAAAAAGUGGAACGCAACAAAUCCGAUAAGGCGGAAUGCAACGUUUGCGGACACGAAGGGCACACUGGUGCACGUUGCUAUCAUCGUCAUCAAACAUGCAGCAUUUGCUUUCAACCCGGACAUUUACGUUCCGUCUGCAGGCAGAAAACGCAUCAUCCCGAUAGUAUUUACAAACCGAAAGCGAGAGGCAACAAACCUCCAAACCGUUACUAAUUUAGGAUGACUUCAAUGGCUGCAUUGGGUUCGAAUAGCCCGAAACGGUUAGCACCUGUUAUGGACAAACAUAAUCAUAGCAAAACGAUCAAAUAAUACAUAAGCUAAUUAUCAGCAUUUUUGCUUAAGAAUUUUAACAGCACGAUAACGUUUUAUAUUUUUCUUUUUAAUUUAAUGUAAAAGCUAAUGACGCGUUCCAAACAUAAAUCUAUUGAUUGAUCAGCAUAUCGGGAAAACUUUUCCUAUCGAUGAAUUAACUAAACGUGCUCGGAAGAAAAGAAUAAGUUUAUUCAUAAAAAUUUCUUUCAAAUGAUGCGUUCGAUGUAUUAGUAAGAUCCAAUACAUUAGUAAGAUCCAGAUCCAGAAAAAUAGUUCUCAUGUAUUGUCGAGAAGAUUAGCAAACCAAAAUGUGAAGUGUUUUGAAACUUUUUUAAUAAAUGUUGCGGAAGCUUAUUUUGUUAA